rnacentral:tRNA from 1 species
GCAGGUAUAGUUUAGUGGUAAAAUGAAUCCUUGCCAAGGAUUAGUUACGAGUUCGAUUCUCGUUACCUGCU